UCAGAUGUUGAACUUGCUGGAAGAGCUGAUCGAAUUGGUCAGCCAUGACUGGUGCUGACUGGGCCGAUUGAAUCGAUGGAGGGAUGAUCGAUUGAAUCGAUGGAGGAAUUUUUGGUGCCAGUGGUUGAACUUGAUUGUCAGCCUGACUGAUCGCUUGUCAGAAAGUGGUGGUAUUGAAAAGCCAGAAAGAUGUCCAUCUUUGAGCCAUGAAUGCGAAUGUAGGCCUUUCCUCUAUCUGUUGCUACUAAAAUCGAUCG
rnacentral:lncRNA from 1 species